CACUUCCUUUUAAAUGUAUCUCAAACCUACAUUUUUGCCCCCAUUCCCCUCCAUCGCUCUCUAUCUCUCAAUUGCGCUUUCAAAAGUAAAAUUGAAGCAUCGAUUUCUGGCAACACAACCUAUCUUUGAAGCACCGAUUCCAAGAAUCACCGCUUCUUUACCUCCGAAAAUGUCAAAAGCAUGGGCUUAGUUCUCCGGCGACGUGAAGAUAUCUCGCCGAUCAAUGGAAUAAAUGUCUUCUUCGCUUGUAUAAACACACUAAUCUUCCACCUUCAACCGUGAAUCAUCAUCCCUAGAUCUCAAUAAAGAUGCGUUCUAGGGUUUAAACAGAGAAAUUAGGGAUCAAGAUGGAGCCAACAAAAAUAGUAGAUGGAAGUUCGUUAAGGUAAUUUGCAUAAAUCGUUUAUUUCACAUCACGAUUUUGUUUCUUUGUCUCAGAACCUAAAUGGGUUUAAGGGAUCUUGAAGAUUAUUAGAAUGUUUGAUGAAACAAUCUAUAUAAUUUGAUAUUUCUUAUUGAAAUUCUAAGGCUUUGUUUGUUGAUUGUAGCAUGGUUAAUGUUGGAUUUAUUGCAUGUACUUAUGCUGUCAGUAUCACUAUGCCCUCAUUCUUCUUCUUAUGGUUAAAGGCAUUGGGUAUUGAUAAUAUCUUAGGGUUUGAUUGGCUGCAUCACCAUCAUCUGAAUCAAUGGUCAAAGCUCUUCAAGUAUUGUAUUCACUUGGAGUUCUUGAUGAUGAUGCAAAACCUACUUCGCCAGUAGAAUUUCAAGUUGCGGAGCUACCAUUGGUAUAUUAAUCUUAAUCUUUUAUAUCCUCCAUUUAUCUGAAAAACACAUUAUUCAUUAAAAUUAUUCACACAAACUAUGCACCUUAAAAUUGUUGGUUUUAGGAUCCCAUGAUCUCAAAAAUGAUCAUAGCAUCAGAUCAACUUGGAUGUUCUCUGAAGAAAUAAUAAUUCUCUUUGCCGUCCUCUCAGUUCAGUUGAUUUAAUUUGUACCAUGGCCCAUUGUUUCUCAUUCUUAUCUUUAUAGAUUGUUCAUAUUCUAAUAAAUAAAGAUAUAACUUUUCAGUCAAUAUGGAUAUCCGUUAAGGGGCAGAGAGAACUCGAUAAGGCCAAAGUGAGAUUUGUCACAGCCAAGGUGUGUUAUAGUAAGCAUAUUACAUAAAAGCCCUUUGUAUAUGCAACAACUGAAGAGUGGCGGCCUGAUGUCUCACGUUAUGUCCCCCUGAUAUUGAGCUAGAUGGAAGCAGGCUUUUUCCCAUUGACAAGCUCAAUAUCGUGCAGCCCACACCCGGGUGGUGGAGGAGUCUGAGAAUUAGAUGAGGCGGCACAAAUUUGCUGAUAUGUAUGACUCCUUUGGUUCUUUCUAAAUGUGCGAAUUAGGCGGGUUGAAACGGUAUUUUCUUCUUCUAAAGCUUUAAGUUUUUUUUUUAUAAAUAUUACUUUAUCAAAUAUGAUCGUCAUAAUCAUAUUAUACAAUACUAUGCUAUUUUAUUUUAUUUUAUUAAAGUGAUUAAAGAUUUAUGUCAAGGUGACAAAAUGAACGGGUCAGGUCGGGUAACAUGUCAAAAUGUGUUAAAGUUGAAACGUGUAAUUUUAUAGUGAGGGCCAAAAUGCGUUUAGGUUGAAACAAAUAAUUUUAUAUCAUUUGCAGGUGUUAUGUAGAAGGUAUAAUAUCAUUUGCAGGUGAAGCAACUUAAUUGCUUUCCUAAAAAGUUGAUGAUUGUUUCAUUUGUCAAAUGCAUACAUCUAUAUUUCUAUAAAUUAAGGUGUUUGAGAUGGGAAAAUAGCAACGAGAAGGUAUACUAAUUAGUUGUGAUUUCACGCUUCCCCAUGAUUUAUACAUUGCAGUACUACUUACUAUUACUAAUCAACUUGAAGAUCUUUUUUCUCCAUUCUUAAGUUCUAAUAAAUAAUAAGUGAUUCAAAUAUUAUAGGAAAAAUAUAGUUAAUUUUCAAACAACCCAUCAAAUUUAAUUUGUUAUAUGCUAUAGGUUUUGUAAGCUCAAAUGGCGUUUAUUAGGCCAUAUGUUAUGGGGUGCCGUUGAGGCGAGGGCUUGGGGCAAAUUACGGGAGUUAGGAAGGAGAAAAAGAAGGAACCAUGUGGGCGUCGUUGGAAGACGGGAGCGUGGAACCAUAACAUAGAGGCGUUGUUGGAGCGUGGAGCACCUAUUCGUUUGAUUAACUCAAAAUAUAUUAUUAAUUUUCAUGUUUUUUUAUUUACUUAAUAGGGAUACAUCAAAAUAUCCGGUGGAAACUCCCCUAGAGCUCCAACAUUCUUGUCAUGUAAAUGAAUAUCUGAUAACAUUUAUUCAUGAAUCAUAAGUUCAUAAUUUUGUAUUGUUAUUCUUAAUUUCAUUAUUAUUUUAAAGACAUCAAAAGAUGGUAUAUAAUCUUUUAUUUUUGUUGA